GGGUUAGCCCUGCCGGAAACCCCGGGGGGAGCAGCCUGAGGGAGGCCUUGGCAGGACAUCACGACUGGAAAAUGUCCAUGGAAAGAGUGUUGGUAGGCUGUGCACACAACGCUGCCGUAUUGAAACAACAAUGACUGACGGGAGAGCCAAUGGGAUUGUUAAUGUGGCAUAUGAGAUUGCUAAGAGGAAGCCGUGGGGAGGUAUUACGCAAAUCCAACAGUUCUCCAGCCAUCUUAGCAAGGCUUCUGAGAGCAUGGGAGCAGGAGCUCACAUCAGCAUGAAUACAAAUCAUCUCAACUAUUUCUGUGCAAGGAUAGUCAAAUGAGUGGGAGAUAAAGAGAUAGAAGAGAAAAGACAAGAGAGGACGUCUGUAGGGGGGUUGGGGACAUGAAGAGGAAAGCAGGAAUUAGAAGAAAAGCAAGACAUGCAUAGGGAAGGAACAUCAUGAGGGGUGAUUGCUGCUUGGAAAUGUUCUUUGGUGAAUUGGGAUGUUUGAUGGACCAUUACAGAGUGUAGAUAAAUGUCACAGACAGAAGACAGCAAAAAUGGUGGUUGAUUCGUCCAUGGACUGGAAUACGGGUCCAUUAAGGUAAGCCUGGAAAGAUAUUAAACAGAGACUACUAUCAGGAAAAAAAACACUGACUUUAAAGUCAUGUCUGGUGCAAAGAGAAAGAAACAAAGAGGGAGGGAGAGACAGAUGAAAUCGAGAGAAAAAGUAAAAGUUGCUUUUGCAUAACCUGAAGAUUCAGAAAUGCUGUCUGCCUCUCCUGAAGUGAAACUCAUCUGAAAGGCAGUGACACACAAAAACAGUCUGUGAAUUCAUCUGUCCUGUUACAUUCAUAUGAGUUACAGCAGAUGUGUCCCACAGCUUCCCAUGGCUGGGUUUCCUUUCAGAGGGUCAUAUCACACAUUUUUUUCCCCCAAGGUCCACAUAUAAUAAUGUAAUUUAGUCCUACAUGACCAUUUUCUACAUUUUCUCUGACUCGAAUUUAAUGAAAGAAUAAAGAAUACAGUUGUUUAAUGGUGA